GAAUGUCGUGCUUGUGAUGGCGUACGGGAGUCUGGUAUUCAUACUGCUGUUUAUUUUUGUGAAGAGACAAAUCAUGCGCUUUGCAAUGAAAUCUAGAAGGGGACCUCAUGUUCCUGUGGGACACAAUGCCCCCAAGGACUUAAAAGAGGAGAUUGAUAUUCGACUAUCCAGGGUUCAAGAUAUCAAGUAUGAACCCCAGCUCCUUGCAGAUGAUGAUACCAGACUACUGCAGCUGGAAACCCAGGGGAAUCAAAGUUGCUACAACUAUCUAUACAGGAUAAAAGCUCUAGAUGCCAUCCGUGCCUCUGAGAUCCUGUUUCAUGCUGAAGGCCGGCACCCCUGUUCUUUAAUGGGUAAGAAUUUCCACUCCUACUUGUUAGAGCUGCGAAACACUACCACUCCUUUCAAGGGUGUUCGAAAGGCCCUCAUUGAUACCCUCCUGGAUGGAUAUGAGACAGCCCGCUAUGGGACAGGGGUCUUUGGCCAGAGUGAGUACUUGCGAUAUCAGGAGGCCUUGAGUGAGCUGGCCACUGUGGUCAAAGCACGAAUUGGGAGUUCUCAGAGACAACACCAGUCAGCAGCCAAAGACCUAACUCAGUCACCUGAAAUGUCACCAACCACAAUCCAGGUCACAUACCUGCCUUCCAGUCAGAAGAGCAAACACCCUAAGCACUUCCUCGAACUGAAGAGCUUUAAAGACAACUAUAACACCCUGGAGAGCACGCUGUGACGGAUCUGCACACAUGCCAGCUUGUGGCGCUCAGAAUAUCUGGUUCAGCAGACCCAAACUUUAUUGGCCAAAGCAUUCUUACAGAAUAGUAUCUAAAAGGUCAUUCCCAACCUUUUCUGAUACUGGCUAAGACCUCAGUCUCAGUAUCUCCCAGUAGCACUUC